rnacentral:rRNA from 1 species
UACGUAGGGUGCGAGCGUUGUCCGGAAUUAUUGGGCGUAAAGGGCUCGUAGGCGGUUUGUCGCGUCGGGAGUGAAAACGCCGUGCUUAACACGGCGCUUCCUUUCGAUACGGGCAGACUAGAGGUAUUCAGGGGAGAACGGAAUUCCUGGUGUAGCGGUGAAAUGCGCAGAUAUCAGGAGGAACACCGGUGGCGAAGGCGGUUCUCUGGGAAUGACCUGACGCUGAGGAGCGAAAGUGUGGGGAGCGAACAGG